ensembl:snoRNA
CUGCAUGAUGGAAGCCAUCAUUCUUUUUCUUCAGCGGAGAAUGAAUAUAUUCCUUGCAUGCUACAGAAAAUAAGAAGCUAUCAGGGCCACCAGUCUUGGAGUACAGGCUGAGUGGUAGUAUAUUUCUCUUACAGUA